ACGUCCGGAACGGGCGCUAAUACCGCAUACGUCCUGAGGGAGAAAGUGGGGGAUCUUCGGACCUCACGCUAUCAGAUGAGCCUAGGUCGGAUUAGCUAGUUGGUGGGGUAAAGGCCUACCAAGGCGACGAUCCGUAACUGGUCUGAGAGGAUGAUCAGUCACACUGGAACUGAGACACGGUCCAGACUCCUACGGGAGGCAGCAGUGGGGAAUAUUGGACAAUGGGCGAAAGCCUGAUCCAGCCAUGCCGCGUGUGUGAAGAAGGUCUUCGGAUUGUAAAGCACUUUAAGUUGGGAGGAAGGGCAGUAAGUUAAUACCUUGCUGUUUUGACGUUACCAACAGAAUAAGCACCGGCUAACUUCGUGCCAGCAGCCGCGGUAAUACGAAGGGUGCAAGCGUUAAUCGGAAUUACUGGGCGUAAAGCGCGCGUAGGUGGUUCAGCAAGUUGGAUGUGAAAUCCCCGGGCUCAACCUGGGAACUGCAUCCAAAACUACUGAGCUAGAGUACGGUAGAGGGUGGUGGAAUUUCCUGUGUAGCGGUGAAAUGCGUAGAUAUAGG
rnacentral:rRNA from 1 species